CGCGACCCCAGGUCAAGCGGGGCUACCCGCUGAGUUUAAGCAUAUCAAUAAGCGG
rnacentral:rRNA from 2 species